rnacentral:rRNA from 1 species
AUGAACGCUAGCGACAGGCCUAACACAUGCAAGUCGAGGGGCAGCACAAGGAGCAAUCUGAGGUGGCGACCGGCGCACGGGUGAGUAACACGUAUGCAACCUGCCUGUAAGCGGGGAAUAACCCGUUGAAAGACGGACUAAUACCGCAUAAUACUAAAUUACUGCAUGGUAAUUUAUUUAAACAUUUAUGGCUUACAGAUGGGCAUGCGCAUGAUUAGCUAGUUGGAGAGGUAACGGCUCCCCAAGGCAACGAUCAUUAGGGGUUCUGAGAGGAAGGUCCCCCACACUGGUACUGAGACACGGACCAGACUCCUACGGGAGGCAGCAGUGAGGAAUAUUGGUCAAUGGACGAGAGUCUGGACCAGCCAAGUCGCGUGCAGGAAGAAUGUUCCCUAUGGAUUGUAAACUGCUUUUGCAGGGGAAUAAAGUGCAUCACGUGUGAUGUUUUGUAUGUACUCUGCGAAUAAGGAUCGGCUAACUCCGUGCCAGCCGCCGC